GUCUUCUAUACGCUGCUUCAUUGUAGACUUCACAUUUGAAAGAAUAAAAAAUCUGUAACUGGUAUAAAUACACACACAUAACUUUUUCACCUACAACACAUAAAUAUAGAAAAUGAAGAGAAACGUGUUGUUGAUUGCUUUGGUUCUUCUGAUUCUCUCUUUCUUGAUUUCAUCUUAUGCAGCUUCAACUCAGUCAUGCCACAACCGCAAACUUUUAAAUAUAGAAGCAUGCCCUAGUAAGUCAAGACCGGCAGGCAAACCAUGAGAACGGCAAUCUAUGGUUCGUGGUGGUUAAAUGGACCGUUUACAAAAAUAGAUACAUUUAACUUUCGCUUGAACAGAAUCCCUAUGAAUACAGUAAUCUCCAUCUAUAUGCAUUUGGGUGUCUUUUAGGCGCCAAGAUGAAAUCUUUGUAGAUCUAUCCCCCUAAUUAUUUCUAAGCUAUGACAUAUAAUUGUCUUUCGUUUCCAUCCAUCUAUUGUAUACAUCUUCUAAUAAGUGGUCUCUAAUUGUUUGUUACACUGUUAUUUCAUUAUGUAUGUUAUAUACUCUUAUGAAUAAAAGAAAUGGAAUUUCAUUG